UACGUAGGGGGCAAGCGUUAUCCGGAUUUACUGGGUUUAAAGGGUGCGUAGGUGGGUUGGGAAGUCAGUGGUGAAAUACUUUCGCUUAACGAAGGAACUGCCAUUGAUACUAUCAAUCUUGAAUGUAGUGGAGGUAGGCGGGAUGCGUCAUGUAGCGGUGAAAUGCUUAGAUAUGACGCAGAACACCAAUUGCGAAGGCAGCUUGCUACACUACUAUUGACACUGAGGCACGAAAGCGUGGGGAUCAAACAGG
rnacentral:rRNA from 1 species